GAAGGACGGUACGAGCCUCGAUUGGUCGGUUAACUUUCCGCGGAGGAGUAUUAGGGGAUUGAUGGCGGUGGCGAUAGCGAACGCUUUCGGUACUUCCCAACAGCUCCGCCACCGUCCUUCGGGACCUCCCAGCCUACCCCGUCGCCCCUUUGCCGGACGGUGGAGGCUCGCCAUCUCUUCCCACGAUGAGGCCGUAACGGAGAAACUGUGCCUGCUUGGUGCAGCGGUGGCGUCCCAGUCGGUGGGGAAUUCCAGCAAGCAGCUUGCGGGCAAGCGGAGGGUCUUCUUCUUGGACGUGAAUCCCUUGUGCUUUGAUGGGUCCCGCCCGAGUCUCCGCUCCUUUGCGCGAUGGCUCGACCUUUUCUUCUCCGAAGUUAGCCUCCGGGAUCCCGUCAUCGCCGUAUUGGAUGGAGAAGAAGGGAAUGAGUAUCGGAGGCAUCUGUUGCCAUCAUAUAAAGCACACAGGAAGAGAUACUUGAGGCAAUCGCGGGUAUUGCGGAGUGCUCAUGAUACUUAUCAAAGCACCACCGAGUGCAAAGUUAUAGACGUUCUCCUGAAGUGCAACGUGCCGGUAGUCAAAGUUCAUGGAUAUGAGGCAGAUGAUGUAGUGGCAACAUUAACAGAUCAAGUUUUAAAAAAGGGAGCACGAGUUGUUAUUGGGUCUCCUGAUAAAGAUUUCAAGCAGUUGAUAUCUGAAGAUGUUCAAAUUGUGAUGCCCAUGCCUGAUUUUGGUCGAUGGUCUUUCUACACAUUGAGACACUACAUUGAUCAGUACAACUGUGAUCCAAGUUCUGAUUUGAGCCUUCGGUGUUUCAUCGGUGAUGAAGUUGAUGGUGUUCCUGGGAUUCAGCAGUUGGUUCCUGGAUUUGGUCGCAAGACAGCCCUCAAACUCUUGAAGAAACACGGCUCUUUAGAAGAUUUACUUAGUGCAGCUGCAAUAAGAACAGUAGGCAAAGACUAUGCACAAAAUGCACUCACAAAAUAUGCUGAUUAUCUGAGAAGAAAUUAUAAGGUUCUUAGCCUAAGGAGGGAUGUUAAUGUUCAGCUUCAAGAUGAUUGGUUAUCAGAAAGAAACACUAGCAAUGACUUGGUAAUCUUGUCAAACUUUCUCAGAAAGUUGGGGGAAAGGCCUGAAGGCCAGAAGCUAAAUAACAGAGAAAGAAGCAAAUCCUUUGAGAGCAGAAUCUCAAAGGGUGAUCGAUCUGUAUAUCUCGGUGAUGGUUGAGGACGACAACUGCUUGACCAAGCAGAUAUUUUGUUUGGUUUCCAGCCUAAAGGAAAUAGCUAUUCAUGCAUUGCAUCAAUGAUGUCUUUAUGCUGCCUUCUUCACCGAGAUUAUACCUCAAAGGGAGAGUUGUAUCAGUGGAAUGACACACAGUGGACCUCUGCGACAAAGCAUAUGCGGAAAUUAUUUAGCCUAUAUUCAUAUACUGCACAGUGUUCAAAGGGUUCAAACUGUGGAGCCCAACUAAGACAUCUGCCCUCAGGACUGCUUGCAGAGGUGCUAAAGUUUAAUAAGAUGACACUACUGGAUCAGAUGAAAGGUGGAAUCUGAACACUGAUGAGGCUUGUUCCUUGUACUGACUCAAUUCCUGGUGAGUAUCCAUGCAACAUGUGCAAGCUCUUGAACAGAAUAAAUGAUGGUCAUUCUACUUUACAUCGGAAAGACUCCAUGUGUAAGCAUUUAUUCACUACCUGAAUGGCUGAAUUACCUUCCUCUGAAAAAAAAAGAGUUAUGAAAAUAAAGUUAAACUACCUGAAGGACUUGAAUUUAGUUUGCCACUGGAUUUGUUCAAGCAAUUUUGAGUGGCACAAUAUCUACCAGCUGAAUUGUAGCCUCUUGGCAACAGGUGAAAGCCACAUGAGGUGUUUUCACUUUCUUGUCUUCAGUUCCAACUCUUGAGACACAUCACAUGAACUGGCAGAUCUCAGAAAUGUGGAGCUUUAGUUCUGCUCGGAGCUCAAACAAGCAGAAUCAUGUUCUUUGAGCUUAUAAGAGGACAUGAAGGUGAGGUUUGUCCCAAAUCAUUUAAAGCAGUGUACUGAUCUGGACAUGGAAGAGUUCCAGGUUGGUGUAGAAUGAGCAACUUGGUGACUUGAAUUAACAUUGAAUUCCUAAGUAGUGUCAGAGAUUUUAGCAGCUC